rnacentral:lncRNA from 1 species
UUUUAUUCAAUCAAUGUGAGAAUUCAUGCAUCGUACAGCUUGUUUUUGUUUGUGUACUUUGUGAUGUUCAAGCUAGGUACUUUGGUCGAGUUGUGCUAGAAUGUUGCCGCCUUCAGGCAUAUCUCACCUUAAUUUACUUUUUAUUUCUCUUUUAUUACGAUUCAAAUCUGUACUAAUGUGUUGUAUAAACAUCUGUGCAAUAAUAAAUUAUGGGGACUACUUGGGAGC